rnacentral:rRNA from 1 species
UCUUGGUCAUUUAGAGGNAGUAAAAGUCGUAACAAGGUCUCCGUUGGUGAACCAGCGGAGGGAUCAUUACCGAGUUUACAACUCCCAAACCCCUGUGAACAUACCUUUAUGUUGCCUCGGCGGAUCAGCCCGCGCCCCGUAAAACGGGACGGCCCGCCGCAGGAACCACAAAACUCUGAUUUUAGUGUAACUUCUGAGUCUAAAAAACAAAUAAAUCAAAACUUUCAACAACGGAUCUCUUGGUUCUGGCAUCGAUGAAGAACGCAGCAAAAUGCGAUAAGUAAUGUGAAUUGCAGAAUUCAGUGAAUCAUCGAAUCUUUGAACGCACAUUGCGCCCGCCAGUAUUCUGGCGGGCAUGCCUGUUCGAGCGUCAUUUCAACCCUCAAGCCCCCGGGUUUGGUGUUGGGGAUCGGGCUGUACUCCAGCCCGGCCCCGAAAUCUAGUGGCGGUCUCGCUGCAGCCUCCAUUGCGUAGUAGCUAACACCUCGCAACUGGAACGCGGCGCGGCCAAGCCGUUAAACCCCCAACUUCUGAAUGUUGACCUCGGAUCAGGUAGGAAUACCCGCUGAACUUAAGCAUAUCAAUAAGCGGAGC